rnacentral:lncRNA from 1 species
AUAGGUCAUUAGUAUAGUUUAUGUGUUGCUUAAACUUUUCGAGUAUAGUUUAGGGCGAUAACUUUUCCCAAUAAAUAAAAAAACAAAUAAAAUAGAUAAAGACAACAAUAAGAAUGAAUAAAUAGAUGAAUAAAAGAGAUUUUAAUCUCUUUGGCGCUUCAAAUAAUGGGGUUUAACCCAUUCCUUCUUCUCUUGAAUCCUUGUAUUCGUAUGCCUUGGAACUCGAUUUUUGGACUUUUCUCAUGAAUCGAUUCGAUGGGAAAAAUGCAAUCAAGAGUUCAUGGCGAACUCAAACGCGACGAAUUCACAUGCAUCAAAAGUAGAAAAAGAGAAUGAUUAGGACUUAUAUUAAUCAGUCUAAUCUUACUUUAACUAGUCACACGCUAUAAUCAUGCUACAAAUGAUAAUUACUCAGGAAACUUAUGUACAUACAGGACAAUUCAAAAGAAGCCAUGAGAAACUCCUAACAAUCAUUAUCAUUUAACAUAACUUUGAAAGAGAAAAAGAAAGAUUUCAUAAUUUUCAGAGUUUAAGAACAUUCUGUCCGUUCUUGACGAUAGCAUCAGUAAACAUCAAAUUCACGAAUGAUGGAGAAUUUCAAUCUACAGGAUUCAACGUAGAGCAAACACGACUCAAUUCCAAAGAAUAACAUAUUGAACCCACUACAAUGUUCAGUCAGAUGAUAUACUAUUCAAAUCAGCAAAUUCUAAAACUGUAUUUACUAAACUUACAAUAGAAUCUAAAGCUAUGAUCAAAUCGACUCAAAUGAGGGUCUGGAAAAAAGACUUAAAUCAUGGAAAACAAAUCAAUAAGACGUGGCGAGAUUCUCGCAAAUUCACCAACUACUUAUUUUACGAGAAAACGAAAGAUCUCAAUCACAUCAAGAAAGAAAACAACAAUAAUUUAAACAUCAAUAAGGAUGCUAGAGUUGCCGGAAGGCUAAUAUAAGUAGCAGUCAAACCUUACAAACAAAGAUCCGGAAAUGACCAUCUUCAAUGAACAAAAUACGGGAGAGGUACGACUUCCAAUCCAGAAAUUACAUUAACAAUUAAAAGAAAGAUUAUAAACAAGUUCGAUUAAGUCGAUUUAUGAAGAUUAUGGUCUGGACAUUGCUAGCUUUAGAAAAAAAACUCUCUUAAUGCUCCCAUUUCAACCCAAUGAAAUACUAAUCCGAUAGAUGAAGAUAGAACUAGAUAGACAAGAUGAUGCACAACAACGGGCUCGACACUAAUAAAUGAACAACAUAAUAAACAAAACCUCAUUCCUUUAUCUAUCACUGUUUAUAGGAAAGAAAGUAACAUAGUGAAGAUGCGGCCUUGCAAAACUACAAGAGGUUUAGACCCUAAAAUCAGCAUCCGAACAGAAAAGUAACGCGAACCAAACUUAAAAGAAAAUCCAUAAAAUUUCAAUGAUUUAUUGGAUGAACCAGCACCAAAUUCAUGAAAGAAAGGCAAACACAGUCAAUCUAAACGUGACUACGGCAACAAAAUCCAUGAAUUGAUUUAAUUACUAAAGGCUUAAUUACUCUAGGAUGACAAAGAAAACUACAUAAUUUCUAUCACACAGAACCUAUGGCCAUUCAUGGCCUCUACAGCAAACAAGUCCCAACGUCUAAGAGAAAAUUAAAUUACUACUAUGGAAAGAAAACGAGGCAGAAUCAUCACGGACAUAAAGCGUCAAGGAGGUUACCUCUUUAGGGGCAGCAAAACAGAACUACGAGUUGACGUAGGAUUCCACUACCACCGGAGAAAUACCUUCGCCUCUAACUCGAAGCUCUAGUUUAAUCAACGAACUUUCGAAAAAAAAAAAAAAAAUCUUUCUACUAAAGAGAUCGAAUUUCCCAAAGGGUUUUCUUUCUUCUUUUCGCCUCCCUCUUUCUGUUUUUCGAAUCAGAGAGUUUUCUCAGAAAUGUUCCCACCGAGAACUUUCCCUUUUCUUCUAAAAAUUUCCAGGAAAUGAAUAGAGAGUCGAAAAUAAAUCCAAAUCCCUCUAAAACAGUAACCAGAUGGACCUUAGAAAGAUUGGGGUAUUUUCGGGAUUCAAAGAAGGGAAACCCUAGGGUUUGAAAUUCGAAAUCUCACCCCUACAGCCCCGUUUUCGAACGCAAAACGUACCAAAUUGGGUUUUUCCAAGAAAUUUGUGACGGGUCGACCAAUAGGGUUUGGGGAAAAUUCAUUCCUUUCUCGAACCAAUAGAAAACACGAACCAAUAAACGCGGUAUUGAGCCAUUGGAGAGGGACACUUGGACCUAUUCUAGAAGAUUCUUAGCAAAUUCUUCGUACAGAUCAGCGUGGGAUGCGUGAAGAAGAUCAAGGACGAGUGGGUAACGGAUCUAUUCGGGUUACAUCGACAACCGGGUCUGGGGUUGGUUGAGAUUGUUGGUGUGUUGCAAUGUUUAUCGUUUGGUUGAGGAUUUCUUCUUGUUUUGGAGGAGAAGGGGUGAGAAUAAGGGAGUUGGGCCGGAUAACGGUUGUUGUUGGGCUGUUUUGUUAACAAAAAAUUACAUAUAAACUAGAAAUCUUAAGAUAUUAAUUACAAUUUAUAGCAAUAGUUUUAAAA